rnacentral:lncRNA from 1 species
GUGAAGACCAUAUUGCACCAGUCUCUCUUCAGGAUCUUCUGACCUAAAAUGCGAGGAACUGAAUCGAGAACCAUUUCUGUGAAGGUUCCUUCUGCAUACUGAAAAACGAGGUUGACAUUGAAGCAAAUGUGAUGAAGCUGAAAGAUGUUAGGUGCAUCUGAUACGUAAUAUCUGUGUAAUAUCUCUUUGUUAUCUUUUGGC